ACGGAAGGCAGCAGUGGGGAAUAUUGGGCAAUGGGCGCAAGCCUGACCCAGCAACGCCGCGUGAAGGAAGAAGGCUUUCGGGUUGUAAACUUCUUUUGUCAGGGAACAGUAGAAGAGGGUACCUGACGAAUAAGCUCCGGCUAACUACGUGCCAGCAGCCGCGGUAAUACGUAGGGAGCGAGCGUUGUCCGGAUUUACUGGGUGUAAAGGGCGUGCAGCCGGGCUGGCAAGUCAGAUGUGAAAUCCAGAGGCUUAACCUCUGAACUGCAUUUGAAACUGCUGGUCUUGAGUACCGGAGAGGUUAUCGGAAUUCCUUGUGUAGCGGUGAAAUGCGUAGAUAUAAGGAAGAACACCAGUGGCGAAGGCGGAUAACUGGACGGCAACUGACGGUGAGGCGCGAAAGCGUGGGGAGCAAACAGGAUUAGAUACCCUGGUA
rnacentral:rRNA from 1 species